rnacentral:miRNA from 1 species
AGACUUAUAUGUAGGAACGGA